AUGCAACCAUCCUAAUGACUAGACGACGCUAUAUUGGGACCGUGAGUGUGCCGUGCUGCUCCAGAAGAGGUGAUUUUGCGUUGGCUCCUUUUAAUAUUAUAUAGCGAAUUCGCUGGUCACUUUCUCUUGUUUACAAGCCAUCAAGAUCUCCAGAGUCUCCUCUCACUAAUCAUACUGAGACACAGGCAAAAUGUCGACAAUAAAGAAGGUCACUGAUUUCUUAUAUCGAGGAUUCACACUAUCGAUGGUGACUCUGACUGUGUAUGGGGGAGUAGUUCUCACAUCCAGAUGGUACAACAUGAUAGAGGAGCGAAAGGUGAGGCAGAAGGAUAAGCUUCUUGCAGCGGGCAUGGAGGAAUCGAAAGCAGCUACUCCAACGGAGGCAAUCAACACUUAGUGAGCAAGCUUGGAGACUUCAUCCAGAGCAGUUAGAACAAUUUAAAAGAUGAUGUAACUGCAAUAUAAGAAGUGGAUCAUCCUGACCCUGAGCUGUGCCAUUGCUUCAUUUUAUAUUAAAUUUGAUAUCAUGGACAAGUGCUUUGUACCAAGAACAUUUUGAAAUUCCAUGUAGGUGUUUGGGCAUUGGACUGAUUGGGAUGUUUAUUUGAGUUAAACUUUUGUUCAAUGCUAUAAAUGUUGAAUGAGGCAAACUACAUGCAUUAUGAAAAAUACAGAGAUGUUUUUUUUUAUUUUGAUGUACCCCUACAUCAGCAAUGAAAGUUGUCUGCUCUCCAGUGCUAUCUCUGUAUUUUCAUAUUUUUUUUGUCUCAACACUCCUUGCAUAUUUGAGAACCCUCAUGAUCCUGCAGUUCUCAAGGAUUGGAGGCAUUCAACAAGAAAAGAAGAACUUGGAUGAGAAUAAUAAUAGUGCUGACAUCUGUCCGGCAGUGAUGCUCAUGGCUCAGAAAAUUAUUUUACCACUUUUAUAAGAUUUCUUUAGGUAUGUCUAAAUCAUGGAGUGAUCAAAAUCCUUUUUCUUGUCUAAUUUGAAGGAGAGGAAGAAAUCAUCCUUUUUUAAUGCACCCACACUAGUUUGACGUAGUUUUCUUCUUGUCAUUUUAUGUUGGAGAAUUCUAGACUGACAUUAUUGUCACUCUUUCUUUUCAUUUUGCAAUCUUUAAGAUAGUGAGCUUCAAUACUAUUAACUUUAUGAAUUUUGUAUGUAUUUAAAGCUUAUUUACAAUCUUAUCAGGGAUAUUAAAGUCAAACUGAAAUUUCUUUAACUUAAAAGUUAAAAACAUAGCAACUUUGCACAUUUUAAUUCUCAUUGAAUACUGUCAAAUGAUUAUGUUGUGACUGGUUAUUAAACUGAGGGUCAUUUCAUACUUUUCAUAGGGUCAUGUUCAAAUCUUAAAUGAAACAUACCCAUUUAGAUAUUAUACAUGUAGUGUUAUUACUUUAUAAUUGCAAAGCUGUUUCAGCCAUCCCAUUGGUUGAGUAUUACUUUUUUUUUUGUGGCCAUGUUUUCAUAAAAUGUGUUGUUUUUUAUACUAGGUUUCCUCAUGAGGAUCAUGCCACUGUGGUGAUGUAGAAGUCUGAUUGGGCCUUUGGGGAGGGGGGGGGGGGCGAGAAGGGUGACGAAAUGAACCACUCGUUCAGCUGCUCUAUGCAUCUGACUAAGAUGGUUUGUGCCCAGCAAUGUGCAUACAAUAUACGAUUUCUUCUUUUUUUCUUCAAAAAUGAGGCAAAAUAAACUUGCUGUACAAGUACAUGUAGAUAAAUAUGUGUAAUACUUUAUUAGUUAUUAGUUUAUUACAAUGAAUGUUUGCAAAUUUACACAUUAAAUAAUCAAAUAUUAUGGCCCAAACAAUUACGGUAGGAUGGUGUAAAUCCACCUAAUGAUGUUGAUUACAGUUGCAUGCUCAAUCUUGUGUUAAAAUGUACCAUGUAUAAUUAUGUACAUUUUGCAUUGAACCAUUUCUGUCCUUGUAGCCUGACAAAAUCAUCUUUGAUUGAUAUAUUCCUUUAUAAAGGCUUUGAUUUUGUCAUGAAUGAGCCGAGAUAAAUGUACACAGAGAACCUAAAAUAAAGAAUUUUAUGGUACACGAUAGGAAAAUAUAACAUGAAGUACAUGUACGACGUACGUGGUGCAUUUGUAAUGAUUUGUUAAACUAUUCUUAUCCAAAUCUGCGAGGAUUUAUAAAGAAAACAGUGAAACUCCA